AUUGAACGCUGGCGGAAUGCUUUACACAUGCAAGUCGAACGGUAGAGGGGGCAACCCCUUGAGAGUGGCGAACGGGUGAGUAAUAUUUCGGAACGUGCCCAGUCGUGGGGAUAACGUAGCGAAAGUUACGCUAAUACCGCAUACGAUCUAAGGAUGAAAGCGGGGGAUCGCAAGACCUCGCGCGAUUGGAGCGGCCGAUAUCAGAUUAGGUAGUUGGUGAGGUAAAGGCUCACCAAGCCGACGAUCUGUAGCUGGUCUGAGAGGACGACCAGCCACACUGGGACUGAGACACGGCCCAGACUCCUACGGGAGGCAGCAGUGGGGAAUUUUGGACAAUGGGCGCAAGCCUGAUCCAGCAAUGCCGCGUGCAGGAUGAAGGCCCUCGGGUUGUAAACUGCUUUUGUACGGAACGAAAAGGUUUCUAUUAAUACUAGGAGCUCAUGACGGUACCGUAAGAAUAAGCAACCGGCUAACUACGUGCCAGCAGCCGCGGUAAAGUG
rnacentral:rRNA from 1 species